rnacentral:lncRNA from 1 species
UGUACUUGUCUUGGUCUCUUCCUUAGGUGCCAGGCUCUCAUCUCUGUUGAUGGUGCUGGCUGGACAGUGGGCCUGCGCAAAGCCAUCCCAACAUCCCUGGCUGCUACUUUUACACUGCAGGGCCCACAGGGACACAACACUGUGGCGGGACCAGAAUGUUUCACCAACCUCGGGCCUUCCUGAAGAGGCUCACAGCUCAUGACAUGCCCAUGAGAGGGGUCUGAGCCCCGGGGCUCAGGUCUGGGCAGCGAGGCCUGUGUGACUGACAUAAGAGGAUGUCUGCUAGGCCUGAGCUUGCAGAAAAGGAAUGAAAGGGCCGGGUGGCCAGAGGAGUUGGGCAUGCAGACCAGGAAGGGAAGGCUGAAGAGCUCUCUGCAGCCGCUGACUCAGGCCUCAGGGGCCAUCAUGGAGCAGACAGCCAAGGAAAUAUUGUCCACAGUACCAGAGGCUGGGAAUGAACAGGGUGGGCACCAGAGGAGGCUGAUUCUCUCAAAAUGAGAGGCAGUACAGAUUGUGCACAGCAAGUGUUUGUUGAUUGGCUAACUGAGC